GAUGAACGCUGGCGGCGUGCCUAAUACAUGCAAGUCGAGCGAACAGACGAGGAGCUUGCUCCUCUGACGUUAGCGGCGGACGGGUGAGUAACACGUGGAUAACCUACCUAUAAGACUGGGAUAACUUCGUGAAACCGGAGCUAAUACCGGAUAAUAUAUUGAACCGCAUGGAUCAAUAGUGAAAGACGGUUUUGCUGUCACUUAUAGAUGGAUCCGCGCCGCAUUAGCUAGUUGGUAAGGUAACGGCUUACCAAGGCGACGAUGCGUAGCCGACCUGAGAGGGUGAUCGGCCACACUGGAACUGAGACACGGUCCAGACUCCUACGGGAGGCAGCAGUAGGGAAUCUUCCGCAAUGGGCGAAAGCCUGACGGAGCAACGCCGCGUGAGUGAUGAAGGUCUUCGGAUCGUAAAACUCUGUUAUUAGGGAAGAAAAAAUGUGUAAGUAACUAUGCACGUCUUGACGGUACCUAAUCAGAAAGCCACGGCUAACUACGUG
rnacentral:rRNA from 1 species